GACGAACGCUGGCGGCGUGCUUAACACAUGCAAGUCGAACGGAGUGGCGAACGGGUGAGUAACACGUGGGUGAUCUGCCUUGCACUUCGGGAUAAGCUUGGGAAACGGGGCCUAAUACCGGAUAUUGCAAGAUGAGUCGGCGGCCAAGACGCUUGUUGGUGGGGUAAUGGCCGAGCAAGGCGUCGACGGGUAGCCGGCCUGAGAGGGUGUACGGCAACAUUGGGACCUGGGUACGGCCCGGACUCCUGCGGGCGGAAGCAGUGGGGAAUAGUGCACGAUGGGCGGAAGCCUGAUGCAGCGACGCCGCGUGGGGGAUGGAGGCCGUCGGGGUGUAAACUCCUUUCGACAGGGACGCGGUACCUGUAUAAGAAGGACCGGCUAACUACGUGCCAGCAGCCGCGGUAAUAC
rnacentral:rRNA from 1 species